rnacentral:rRNA from 1 species
AGUGAACGCUGGCGGCGUGCUUAACACAUGCAAGUCGAACGAGAACGGAUUAUAGCUUGCUAUAAUUGUCAGCUAAGUGGCGCACGGGUGAGUAAUGUAUAGGUAAUAUGCCUCUUACUAAGGGAUAACAAAUGGAAACGUUUGCUAAUACCUUAUACUCCUUAUUAACAGAAGUUAAUAAGGGAAAGAUUUAUUGGUAAGAGAUUAGCCUGUAUUGUAUCAGUUAGUUGGUGGGGUAAUGGCUUACCAAGACUAUGACACAUAACUGGUUUGUGAGGAUGAUCAGUCACACUGGAACUGAGACACGGUCCAGAGUCCUACGGGAGGGAGGAGUGGGGAAUAUUGCACAAGGGACGAAAGUCUGAUGCAGCAACGCCGCGUGGAGGAUGACACAUUUCGGUGCGUAAACUCCUUUUAUAUGAGAAGAUAAUGACGGUAUUAUAUGAAUAAGCACCGGCUAACUCCGUGCCAGCCGCCGCCGUAA